rnacentral:lncRNA from 1 species
CCCGCCGCGCCCCGCCGCCGCCUAGCUGCUCCUUCUGCACAUUGGCCUUCAGAGGGACCACGUGACUGACAGCUGGCCAAUGGCAUCGGUGGAAGCAAUCCCCGACCCUUCCAGCCUCCGGUCUGCUCACCCAGGGCCUGCUCACGUGACCUCUGCAUGCUCUCCCCUGCGCGGAGCUAGAUGCGUGGGCUGCCCACUGCGCUGAAGCCGCUGAAGCCGCUGAAGUGAGACGUGUUGUCGGAGUGAGCCUGCGCCCAGAAUGACCAGGAGCAGCAGGGCGCCGAUCUGUUGGGCGGUGACGAGAAAGAGUCUGCUGCUGACGCUUGGGGGGUGGAAACCACCUCUAGCCCCCAGAGCCAUUCCCAGAGAGGAUUGGACUAAGACAGUUCUUCCCAAGCCUGAGCAAGCAUGGAAGUCAUCUGGAAUGUUCAUCGAAACUCAGCUUACUGGGGCCACCUCGGAGUCUCUGCUUCUGGAGCCGCCCCACUUCCCUCAUGACUGCCAGCCGUCUUUGAUGUCAACUAACCGAGACUAGAAUGUCUGCUGCUCAAGGAACCUGGGAGACCUAGCA